GGAACGUGUACAGAGGAACUAGUUGGAUAUAACUGCUCGUGUGUCCAAGGAUACGGUGGGACACAUUGCGAAAAAAAUUUAACUUGUAACUCAAACCCGUGCCUUAACGGAGGAACGUGUACGGAGGAACUAGUUGGAUAUAACUGCUCGUGUGUCCAAGGAUACGGUGGGACACAUUGCGAAAAAAAUUUAACUUGUAACUCAAACCCGUGCCUUAACGGAGGAACGUGUACA